UCGGCUCGAUCCUGAUCGAAGGCUAGAUAAGUAGUAUCUGACGUGCUCACCGUCAGAUGCUUCAAUCCGACGGCCUGGAUAGAAACCCUAGGCUGGGUUUUCGGCCGUCGAUAUAAGAUGGGCGACAUGGGCGUCGUUGAAACCCUGUUGAUUCUCUCGGCUGCCGGCUCUCCGCUGUUGAUUCUCUCGUCAUCCGGUGAGAUUUGUCGGUCCUGGGUGAUCGUUUGCUGUUUCGGGUUCAACGUGGCCGUUCGUUGUAUUGGAAUCGUAGUUGAAUGAUAGAGCUUGGGCUAGCAGUUUUACAUGUGUUACAAUGAAUUGGGUCGACCAUCCGCUCGUCUUUUUCUUCGUCUUUAAGUUGAAGGGUGUCGGAUCUACUUUCUAUUGCUCUGAUGGUCUUUGGUUUGCUUUCCUUACUGAAUCAUUCAUGUUCUGGCCAUUUUUUUCCCUGCUGUUGUUGCAUGUUGUGCACACAUAAGUAGUUCUUAUCUUUGAAACUGAAGUAAAAAAAGAUAAUUUUUUCAUGUUAGCAUACCGGUCACCGAGCACAUGUAUCUCAGGAAGCAAAACUGAAGGAAAAAUAUCAUUUUUUUUAUUUAUUAUUUUCAUGUUAGUAUGCUGGUCACCGUGCAUAUGUAUCUCAGGAAGCUUUGCCUCUGCUUUCAGCUGCAAGUAUUUUUGACUGAGUUAUUAUUUGUGGCUUUGUCCUAGAGGCAUACAAUAAGGAUCGAUGAGGAGGUUUUCAUGUCCUGCGUUCCAUUCUGGUUGCCUCAGGAUAUCAUUACUACCUUACAUAUAUGCAGGAUUGCAUUCAUCGUAUGCUUUAGUUAAUUGUUUGGUUUUUUUUAUUAUUUUUGGGGAGAACUGAUUGCUGGAGUUAGUACACUAGCCACAGCUUGAAUAUGCGAUGUCAUAAAGUCUGCCAGUGUUCGGAAUUGUUUAUAUCAUUACCCUCUACAUAUUUACAGGAACAUGUUCGUUUUAUGUUUGAGUUUAUGUUAUGGAUCAAUGCCACUGUAAAACUGAUUUUUGGAGUUAGUCUAUUCAGCCCCGAUUUUGAUAUGCAAAGGCAUAAAGUCUGUGAAAUUUUGGGAAUUCUUUCUGGUGUUGCCAGUGAUGAUAGAUUAACUUCAUAUUUUCCAUUUCUUGUCUUUGUAAUAUCAAGAAACAAGUCACUUGGCAAAUGAAAAUGAUUCUUUUGCUAUUUGAGACACGCUCAAAUGUAAUAUUUGUUUCCAACUACUUGAUGCUUGUCUUUAAAGUAAAUUUCUUUUUAAAAAAAUGUUUUCUUCGCUGUUAAUUUAUUUCAUUUUUGAUCUUCUCUUAUCAUAUUCUUGCCUUCCAGCCAUCAUGGGUAAGGAAAAGGUACACAUAAACAUUGUGGUCAUCGGCCAUGUCGACUCUGGGAAGUCAACCACCACCGGCCAUCUCAUUUACAAGUUGGGCGGCAUUGACAAGCGUGUAAUUGAAAGGUUUGAAAAGGAGGCAGCAGAAAUGAACAAGAGGUAAUUCAAGUACGCUUGGGUUCUUGAUAAGCUUAAGGCUGAGCGGGAGCGUGGUAUCACCAUCGAUAUUGCACUUUGGAAGUUUGAGACCACAAAAUACUACUGUACAGUGAUUGAUGCUCCUGGGCAUCGUGACUUUAUCAAGAACAUGAUCACAGGAACCUCUCAGGCUGACUGUGCUGUUCUCAGUAUAGAUUCUACUACAGGUGGUUUUGAGGCAGGUAUUUCAAAGGAUGGUCAGACAAGGGAACAUGCCCUUCUUGCAUUCACUCUCGGUGUCAAACAGAUGAUUUGCUGCUGCAAUAAGGUAAUCUUGAGAAGUCCUUAGGACCGUAGUUAAAAUUAAUAAUUUAUGUUAUACGACAGUUAAUACUUAAUUUGUUGUGUCAACACAUGGUUUAUACAUUUUUUAUAUUGUUUUUCUUGUUCUCAUUCAUCAAAUGUUAUCUAUGUUGUUCAGAGCUCCCAUCAUGUAACUUUAUGCUCUAGGGUUUUAAUGUGAAGUUUCCUUUCACAUCUAUUAUCGUGUCAAAUAUUCUGCUAGCCCGUAUUUAUUAGAAGUUUCAAGUGCUUUUGUUGACAUUUAUUUUAUUCAAACACUAUCUUGAUUGUGGUAAUUCUUCUAUUAACCUACCUUCAUGGCAUUUUUGGGGCAAAACUAUGACCAUUUUAAGGUGUGGUGGCAUUCGAUUUUUGGAUCUCACUUCUGUUUCUACUUUGUCCUAACAGAAUUGUUUACAUCAGAUGUUUUAUAUAUGCCACCACUUCAUUUUCUUCAGUAUGUAUCCUAUAUAUCUGUUGUGCUACUUCGUUUGAGAAACUGGAAAUGCAGUUUCUUUUUUUGGAUUGUAAAUUAAAUUUGUUAUUGAAUGAUUAAUAAAUUUUGUAGGUCUUCCUUUUUCUUUAACUUUAAUUUUGUUGAAUGUGUUACUUAAUCUGAGUUUGAGCUAUUUGUUAUCGCUUGCAGUUAUUUUGGCAAAGAAUGUGUUUUAAUGAACUUCAUGCGUUUAUAAAUUAUUCUUUUCCAUUUCAUAAUAGAUGGAUGCCACCACACCAAAGUACUCCAAGGCUAGAUAUGAUGAGAUUGUGAAGGAGGUUUCUUCUUACCUGAAGAAAAUUGGAUACAAUCCUGACAAGAUUCCCUUUGUUCCCAUUUCUGGUUUUGAAGGUGAUAAC
rnacentral:lncRNA from 1 species